rnacentral:rRNA from 1 species
GAUGAACGCUGGCGGCGUGCUUAACACAUGCAAGUCGAACGAUGAAGCCCAGCUUGCUGGGUGGAUUAGUGGCGAACGGGUGAGUAACACGUGAGUAACCUGCCCUUGACUCUGGGAUAAGCCUGGGAAACUGGGUCUAAUACCGGAUAGGAACGUCCACCGCAUGGUGGUUGUUGGAAAGAUUUAUCGGUCAUGGAUGGACUCGCGGCCUAUCAGCUUGUUGGUGAGGUAAUGGCUCACCAAGGCGACGACGGGUAGCCGGCCUGAGAGGGUGACCGGCCACACUGGGACUGAGACACGGCCCAGACUCCUACGGGAGGCAGCAGUGGGGAAUAUUGCACAAUGGGCGAAAGCCUGAUGCAGCGACGCCGCGUGAGGGAUGACGGCCUUCGGGUUGUAAACCUCUUUCAGUAGGGAAGAAGCGAAAGUGACGGUACCUGCAGAAGAAGCACCGGCUAACUACGUGCAGCCGCCGCCGUAA